AUUGAACGCUGGCGGCAUGCCUUACACAUGCAAGUCGAACGGUAACAGGGAGCUUGCUCCGCUGACGAGUGGCGAACGGGUGAGUAAUGUAUCGGAACGUACCAUUCAGUGGGGGAUAACGUAGCGAAAGUUACGCUAAUACCGCAUAUUCUGUGAGCAGGAAAGCAGGGGAUCGCAAGACCUUGCGCUGAUUGAGCGGCCGAUAUCAGAUUAGCUAGUUGGUGAGGUAAAGGCUCACCAAGGCGACGAUCUGUAGCGGGUCUGAGAGGAUGAUCCGCCACACUGGAACUGAGACACGGUCCAGACUCCUACGGGAGGCAGCAGUGGGGAAUUUUGGACAAUGGGGGCAACCCUGAUCCAGCCAUGCCGCGUGAGUGAAGAAGGCCUCGGUUGUAAGACUCUUUCGGUCCGGGAAAACGUACGCAUCAGUUAAUAACCUGGUGUGGAGUGAUGGUACCGGAACGUAAGAAGACACCGGCCGUAACUACGUAGCC
rnacentral:rRNA from 1 species